GAUGAACGCUAGCGGCAGGCUUAAUACAUGCAAGUCGAGGGGCAGCAUGAAUGUAGCAAUACAUUUGAUGGCGACCGGCAAACGGGUGCGGAACACGUACACAACCUUCCUAUAAGUGGGGAAUAGCCCAGAGAAAUUUGGAUUAAUACCCCGUAACAUAAUGAUGUGGCAUCACAUUAUUAUUAUAGCUACGGCGCUUAUUGAUGGGUGUGCGGCUGAUUAGAUAGUUGGCGGGGUAACGGCCCACCAAGUCUACGAUCAGUAGCUGAUGUGAGAGCAUGAUCAGCCACACGGGCACUGAGACACGGGCCCGACUCCUACGGGAGGCAGCAGUAAGGAAUAUUGGUCAAUGGACGCAAGUCUGAACCAGCCAUGCCGCGUGAAGGAUAAAGGUCCUCUGGAUUGUAAACUUCUUUUAUCUGGGACGAAAAAAGGCGAUUCUUCGUCACUUGACGGUACCAGAUGAAUAAGCACCGGCUAACUCCGUGCCAGCAGCCGCCGUAAGAC
rnacentral:rRNA from 1 species